rnacentral:rRNA from 1 species
GAUGAACGCUGGCGGCGUGCCUAAUACAUGCAAGUCGAGCGAACGGACGAGAAGCUUGCUUCUCUGAUGUUAGCGGCGGACGGGUGAGUAACACGUGGAUAACCUACCUAUAAGACUGGGAUAACUUCGGGAAACCGGAGCUAAUACCGGAUAAUAUUUUGAACCGCAUGGUUCAAAAGUGAAAGACGGUCUUGCUGUCACUUAUAGAUGGAUCCGCGCUGCAUUAGCUAGUUGGUAAGGUAACGGCUUACCAAGGCAACGAUGCAUAGCCGACCUGAGAGGGUGAUCGGCCACACUGGAACUGAGACACGGUCCAGACUCCUACGGGAGGCAGCAGUAGGGAAUCUUCCGCAAUGGGCGAAAGCCUGACGGAGCAACGCCGCGUGAGUGAUGAAGGUCUUCGGAUCGUAAAACUCUGUUAUUAGGGAAGAACAUAUGUGUAAGUAACUGUGCACAUCUUGACGGUACCUAAUCAGAAAGCCACGGCUAACUACGUGCCAGCAGCCGCGGUAAUACGUAGGUGGCAAGCGUUAUCCGGAAUUAUUGGGCGUAAAGCGCGCGUAGGCGGUUUUUUAAGUCUGAUGUGAAAGCCCACGGCUCAACCGUGGAGGGUCAUUGGAAACUGGAAAACUUGAGUGCAGAAGAGGAAAGUGGAAUUCCAUGUGUAGCGGUGAAAUGCGCAGAGAUAUGGAGGAACACCAGUGGCGAAGGCGACUUUCUGGUCUGUAACUGACGCUGAUGUGCGAAAGCGUGGGGAUCAAACAGGAUUAGAUACCCUGGUAGUCCACGCCGUAAACGAUGAGUGCUAAGUGUUAGGGGGUUUCCGCCCCUUAGUGCUGCAGCUAACGCAUUAAGCACUCCGCCUGGGGAGUACGACCGCAAGGUUGAAACUCAAAGGAAUUGACGGGGACCCGCACAAGCGGUGGAGCAUGUGGUUUAAUUCGAAGCAACGCGAAGAACCUUACCAAAUCUUGACAUCCUUUGACAACUCUAGAGAUAGAGCUUUCCCCUUCGGGGGACAAAGUGACAGGUAGUGCAUGGUUGUCGUCAGCUCGUGUCGUGAGAUGUUGGGUUAAGUCCCGCAACGAGCGCAACCCUUAAGCUUAGUUGCCAUCAUUAAGUUGGGCACUCUAAGUUGACUGCCGGUGACAAACCGGAGGAAGGUGGGGAUGACGUCAAAUCAUCAUGCCCCUUAUGAUUUGGGCUACACACGUGCUACAAUGGACAAUACAAAGGGCAGCGAAACCGCGAGGUCAAGCAAAUCCCAUAAAGUUGUUCUCAGUUCGGAUUGUAGUCUGCAACUCGACUACAUGAAGCUGGAAUCGCUAGUAAUCGUAGAUCAGCAUGCUACGGUGAAUACGUUCCCGGGUCU